UUCUAGUUCAACGUGUCUUUCUGGACGAUGAAACUACGACGAAAGCCUUGCCCAAGGCGGGCAGCGGGACCUCGGUGGGAUCGGUGUACCCCACCCCGAGAAGGGCAGACGAAGCUCUGGCCACUUGUAUUGUGCUCUCGAGAAGACGUUAGUCCCAGACGUAUCUCUUUGUUUGUAGGUAACUGUCAAAUAGACUUCAGACUUCUCUUCGUUGUGACCAUUUCCUGGAGCGGAAGGGACCAAGAUGUGACUGUCUGGCUAUUUGACUGCAACCCACUUCUGUGCCUGGCUUGGUUUGAUGACAUAUACCAAAUGUAGCCAUGACCACGACAUGGUUUUGGCAGACUUAGAAGCCUAAGAUUGCUGUAUUAAAAUGCUUCUUAAUCCUCCAGAAACUCAAGGACAUACCUGCCAAUUAAAAAGAACUUCAGUUGGAAGCUGAGGAAGAAUCACCUGUUACAUUUGCUGGGCGAUAUGAAAAAAAGAUAAGAUGGCCACAAUCAUCCAAAAGAAUCAAGGAAUCACAGAAUCAUGGAACAGAUGAAGUUGAAAGGGAUCUCUGGAGACCAUGUGGUCCAACCUCCCCACACAGGCAGGAUCACCCAAAGAUGCUUGCCAAGGCCAACAGGAACUGAUCAACCUGGAAUUGGCUCUAGCAGUCAAAAGGUACAUUUUCUAGAACUUGUGGAUCAUACAGUAGAGUGGCUGAAAUUGUUUCACAGUACAACCUUUUUGUAUAUAGAGGUGAGUCAGCAUGUAAAGGAGUAGCAUUCAAGUUUUCAAAGGUCACUUACUCUGUUGACUAUGAACUCCAAAGAAACAAGUUUAUAAAACACCUGUCUUUUUCCUGUCACAAAAUAAGAGCAUAAUUUGCAGUACCCAAAAGAGUUGGCUCACCAAUUUCCAUUUAUUUGAAGGAACACUAGUAAUUGGGUAUCCAGAAUUUUGCGCAUAAAGUAUGAAGUCUGACAUCUGUGGGGUAGGUUUACCUUGGUUGGGCAUCUAUCUCACAAAUCCAAUGCACUCUCUCAAAUGAUUUCCCUCCUUGCAUUGCAGAGUUUGAUCACAAGGACAGGGUAGGAGUAACCCAAAAUCUGAACAAGAUUUGCAUAGAACAGGCUUGGAAGAAUCUUGAAUGACAAAACUAGUUCAUCCCAGCUCUGGGUACAGGUUUAAAAUGCAAAAUAGAAAGACUUGGCUUUUGUUUCAACUGUCAAAAUCAUCUCUUCUGCUUGAGAGUGGACUGAAGCCAGGAUGGCACUAUUUCAGAUUACUUUACUGUGUUUAUACACAGAUGAGAGGAAUUCAGGGUGCUAGUGGUAAUUCCAUGCAUCACAUAAUUUAGCACAAACUACAGAACAUGCCUACACUAAACGAUGCAGUGCAGCACCAAGACAGUUAAAAUGGCUCUGAAAAAGCUAUCUCGCUGCUGGAUACAGCCCAUUCAAGUAAGCUCAUCAGCUAACCCACUGUUGCAUGUCUAGUACCCAUGCUCAUUUGCUGAGUUAGCUUUAUUUGCUCAACUAUGUUGGCACUGGCAAUUUCAAUGUCAUUUGCUGUAUGCAGUUUCUGUUGCCCUCAAUUAGUCUUUGCCAGUUUGUCAUCAUGGUGUUACAGUUUAGCAUACUUCAGCAACAGAAGCGGCACACUGCUGAGCAAGAAUGCAGUGCGCUACAUUAAUACACUCACCCAAAAGAAAAUGAAACUUCCUAACCUGUGCUCUUUAAGUAAAGAGAGACCAUAUGACCUUUGAUCAGUGAGAUCUGGCAUUGUGCCUUAUGGCAUUAUUGUGCCCACUUCACAUACCUUUGCUGUGUUCACCCUCAUUUUUGCAUUUCCAUUUUCACUAGCUCCAACCCAACAGAGAAACAAUUGCUGAAGUAAUGAGGGAGAAAGAGGGAAGGAAAGGAAGGAUUUUCUCUGGCAAAAGGGCUACAAAGGUGAUCAAACAGCUGGAGUGACUCUCUUGUGAAGAAAGGCUCUCCAACCUAAGCCAUUUUAUAAUCCUAUGAAAACCAAAGCUGAGAACUCCUAUUAUAGCCUCAGAGGCUAGGAUUAUUUCAUGCUUUUAUUUAUUUAAAAUCUCUUAAGUCCAUUUUGUACUCUCUCCUACCUCAGAUACUGGACAUUUCUCUGAAUUACUUUCCCCCCCCAAAUACUGUGCCUUUCCAAGCUGUCUUAAGAGGAUGUGUGUUUGAGACAGUGAGAGACAAAAAUAUGAAGAAUAUUUUUCUUCUCCCUUCUGUCCCUUAUGUCAUAGAGGAAUGACACGUUAUUUGAUACAAGAUUAUGUUAUUACUGAACCAACACUUAGAGGACAAGAAGUUUACAGUGAUUAUUACAGAAUAUCAUUAAUAUAUAUUUAACAAAAUAUAAAUUAUAAAUUCUGGGGGAUACAAAUAAAUAGAUCCUAUCCUUAAUCUCUAAGCAGAUCUGCAUACUAUUUGUUGUAAUAUACAGUUUUUGCUUUGUUUUUUUCUCUCUACUACGUAAGCCUGAAAAGUACGCUAAAGAUUUUCUUCCAUUUCAGCUAAUGGUUCUUGCUGUUCCAUAGACCACUGUCUCCAAAAUUUUUCCCAUCUCAUCCACUGUAGUUAGGCUGACCCACUUGAUUGAAAAGAUUUACCAAGGCCCCAAAGUAGGAACCCAUUGGUAUCUGAUAGAGAGCAGAUAGUCAUGACAAAGAAACUUGGUUCCCCUACUGAAUUUGAAAACUAAAUCAGCAAUGCUGAAAAUUUAAGUAAGUACUCUGCUAAGAAUGGCUUUGUAUUUAUCCAACAAUUACAUUAACUCUAUGUCAUAAAAUUGGAUGUACUACUGUAAUUAUACACAUACAAAACACUACUUAAAAGUC
rnacentral:lncRNA from 7 species